rnacentral:rRNA from 1 species
GUGGGGAAUCUUGCGCAAUGGGCGAAAGCCUGACGCAGCCAUGCCGCGUGAAUGAUGAAGGUCUUAGGAUUGUAAAAUUCUUUCACCGGGGACGAUAAUGACGGUACCCGGAGAAGAAGCUCCGGCUAACUUCGUGCCAGCAGCCGCGGUAAUACGAAGGGGGCUAGCGUUGCUCGGAAUUACUGGGCGUAAAGGGCGCGUAGGCGGACAGUUUAGUCAGAGGUGAAAGCCCAGGGCUCAACCUUGGAAUUGCCUUUGAUACUGGCUGUCUUGAGUACGGGAGAGGUGAGUGGAACUCCGAGUGUAGAGGUGAAAUUCGUAGAUAUUCGGAAGAACACCAGUGGCGAAGGCGACUCACUGGCCCGUUACUGACGCUGAGGCGCGAAAGCGUGGGGAGCAAACAGGAUUAGAAACCCGAGUAGUCC